UAAACCACGAGAUUCGAACUCGCGACCCUGGUUUACGAGACGUGCUCUAACCUCUGAGCUAUGGUGG
rnacentral:tRNA from 13 species